rnacentral:rRNA from 1 species
AGAGUUUGAUCCUGGCUCAGAUUGAACGCUGGCGGCAGGCCUAACACAUGCAAGUCGAGCGGUAACAGAAAGUAGCUUGCUACUUUGCUGACGAGCGGCGGACGGGUGAGUAAUGCUUGGGAACAUGCCUUGAGGUGGGGGACAACAGUUGGAAACGACUGCUAAUACCGCAUAAUGUCUACGGACCAAAGGGGGCUUCGGCUCUCGCCUUUAGAUUGGCCCAAGUGGGAUUAGCUAGUUGGUGAGGUAAUGGCUCACCAAGGCGACGAUCCCUAGCUGGUUUGAGAGGAUGAUCAGCCACACUGGGACUGAGACACGGCCCAGACUCCUACGGGAGGCAGCAGUGGGGAAUAUUGCACAAUGGGCGCAAGCCUGAUGCAGCCAUGCCGCGUGUGUGAAGAAGGCCUUCGGGUUGUAAAGCACUUUCAGUCAGGAGGAAAGGUUAGUAGUUAAUACCUGCUAGCUGUGACGUUACUGACAGAAGAAGCACCGGCUAACUCCGUGCCAGCAGCCGCGGUAAUACGGAGGGUGCGAGCGUUAAUCGGAAUUACUGGGCGUAAAGCGUACGCAGGCGGUUUGUUAAGCGAGAUGUGAAAGCCCCGGGCUCAACCUGGGAACUGCAUUUCGAACUGGCAAACUAGAGUG